CUCUUGCCAGCCUGUCCAGGACCUUGCUCCACCUUCCCCAGUCUUCUCCCCAAGCCUGCACCUGCCUUCCCAGAUGACCCCUUUAUCCUUUAUUUGCUGCUUUCCCUAGAGUCCCCUUGGCUGUUCUUGACCUCAUAUACCUGGAAAUCCUUUCCUUGAACCAGACCUGCAGGCUUUUACUAUUUUCCCUGGCUCGCUUUCCAUCCAUCCAACUGGACUUCUGCCUGUGGCCUGGAGUUAGGUCCAUCCGUUCCCACCACUAAGGCUGCCUUCCAGCCCCCCACCUUGUCACAGCUGGCUACUCCCCUUGAGGAGU
rnacentral:lncRNA from 1 species